ACGGGAGGCAGCAGUGGGGAAUAUUGCACAAUGGGGGAAACCCUGAUGCAGCGACGCCGCGUGGAGGAAGAAGUAUCUCGGUAUGUAAACUUCUAUCAGCAGGGAAGAAAAUGACGGUACCUGACUAAGAAGCCCCGGCUAACUACGUGCCAGCAGCCGCGGUAAUACGUAGGGGGCAAGCGUUAUCCGGAUUUACUGGGUGUAAAGGGAGCGUAGACGGAAGUGCAAGUCUGAUGUGAAAGGCAUGGGCUCAACCCGUGGACUGCAUUGGAAACUGUAUUUCUUGAGUGCCGGAGGGGUAAGCGGAAUUCCUGGUGUAGCGGUGAAAUGCGUAGAUAUCAGGAGGAACACCAGUGGCGAAGGCGGCUUACUGGACUGUAACUGACGUUGAGGCUCGAAAGCGUGGGGAGCAAACAGGAUUAGAUACCCUGGUA
rnacentral:rRNA from 1 species